GAUGAACGCUGGCGGCGUGCCUAAUACAUGCAAGUCGAGCGAACGGACGAGAAGCUUGCUUUUCUGAUGUUAGCGGCGGACGGGUGAGUAACACGUGGAUAACCUACCUAUAAGACUGGGAUAACUUCGGGAAACCGGAGCUAAUACCGGAUAAUAUUUUGAACCGCAUGGUUCAAAAGUGAAAGACGGUCUUGCUGUCACUUAUAGAUGGAUCCGCGCUGCAUUGGCUAGUUGGUAAGGUAACGGCUUACCAAGGCAACGAUGCAUAGCCGACCUGAGAGGGUGAUCGGCCACACUGGAACUGAGACACGGUCCAGACUCCUACGGGAGGCAGCAGUAGGGAAUCUUCCGCAAUGGGCGAAAGCCUGACGGAGCAACGCCGCGUGAGUGAUGAGGGUCUUCGGAUCGUAAAACUCUGUUAUUAGGGAAGAACAUAUGUGUAAGUAACUGUGCACAUCUUGACGGUACCUAAUCAGAAAGCCACGGCUAACUACGUG
rnacentral:rRNA from 1 species